rnacentral:rRNA from 1 species
AUUGAACGCUGGCGGCAGGCCUAACACAUGCAAGUCGAGCGGAUGAAGGGAGCUUGCUCCUGGAUUCAGCGGCGGACGGGUGAGUAAUGCCUAGGAAUCUGCCUGGUAGUGGGGGAUAACGUCCGGAAACGGGCGCUAAUACCGCACACGUCCUGAGGGAGAAAGUGGGGGAUCUUCGGACCUCACGCUAUCAGAUGAGCCUAGGUCGGAUUAGCUAGUUGGUGGGGUAAAGGCCUACCAAGGCGACGAUCCGUAACUGGUCUGAGAGGAUGAUCAGUCACACUGGAACUGAGACACGGUCCAGACUCCUACGGGAGGCAGCAGUGGGGAAUAUUGGACAAUGGGCGAAGGCCUGAUCCAGCCAUGCCGCGUGUGUGAAGAAGGUCUUCGGAUUGUAAAGCACUUUAAGUUGGGAGGAAGGGCAGUAAGUUAAUACCUUGCUGUUUUGACGUUACCAACAGAAUAAGCACCGGCUAACUUCGUG